GUGAGGAAUAUUGCGCAAUGGAGGCAACUCUGACGCAGCCAUGCCGCGUGCAGGAAGAAGGCGCUACGCGUUGUAAACUGCUUUUAACCGGGAAGAAACCCCAGGACGUGUCCUGGGUUGACGGUACCGGAGGAAUAAGCACCGGCUAACUUCGUGCCAGCAGCCGCGGUAAUACGAAGGGUGCAAGCGUUAUCCGGAUUCAUUGGGUUUAAAGGGUGCGUAGGCGGAGCGUUAAGUCAGUGGUGAAAUCCUGCAGCUUAACUGUAGACUUGCCAUUGAUACUGGCGCUCUUGAGUGCGCUUGAAGUUGGCGGAAUGUGCCGUGUAGCGGUGAAAUGCUAAGAUAUGGCACAGACCACCAAUUGCGAAGGCAGCUCACUAAGGCGAUACUGACGCUGAGGCACGAAAGCGUGGGGAUCGAACAGGAUUAGAAACCCCGGUAGUCC
rnacentral:rRNA from 1 species